UUUAACUGGAGAGUUUGAUUCUGGCUCAGAAUGAACGCUGGCGGCGUGCUUAACACAUGCAAGUCGAACGAGAAAGGGAUUGCUUGCAAUCCCGAGUAGAGUGGCGUACGGGUGAGUAACACGUGGAUAAUCUACCUUUGAGUCCGGGAUAACUAUUCGAAAGGGUAGCUAAUACCGGAUGAAGUCAAUUUUCCUUCGGGAAUUUUGAUGAAAGACAGCCUCUGCUUGCAAGCUGUUGUUUGAAGAUGAGUCCGCGCACCAUUAGUUUGUUGGUGGGGUAACGGCCUACCAAGACUGUGAUGGUUAGCUGGUCUGAGAGGAUGAUCAGCCACACUGGAACUGACACACGGUCCAGACUCCUACGGGAGGCAGCAGUGAGGAAUUUUGCGCAAUGGGGGAAACCCUGACGCAGCAACGCCGCGUGAGUGAAGAAGGCCCU
rnacentral:rRNA from 1 species